GGGCCCGCACAAGCGGUGGAGCAUGUGGCUUAAUUCGAGGCAACGCGAAGAACCUUACCUGGUCUUGACAUGCCCGUCAUAGUUUUCCGAAAGGAAUUCGUCAGUUCGGCUGGACGGUGCACAGGUGCUGCAUGGCUGUCGUCAGCUCGUGUCGUGAGAUGUUCGUUAAGUCCGGCAACGAGCGCAACCCUCGUUCCUAGUUGCCAGCGGGUAAUGCCGGGGACUCUAGGAAGACAAACCUCGUGUAGAGGUGGGAAGGUGGGGACGACGUCAAGUCAGUAUGGCCCUUACGACCAGGGCUGCACACGUGCUACAAUGCCCAGCACAAUGGGAUGCAACGCCGCGAGGUUGAGCA
rnacentral:rRNA from 1 species